rnacentral:tRNA from 1 species
GGUCUUGUGGUCUAGUGGUAUGAUUCUCGCUUAGGGAUCACUUUAAUGCAAAGCUUGCGAGAGGCCCCGCGUUCGAGUCGCGGCAAGACCC